UAGGGAAUCUUCGGCAAUGGACGGAAGUCUGACCGAGCAACGCCGCGUGAGUGAAGAAGGUUUUCGGAUCGUAAAGCUCUGUUGUAAGAGAAGAACGAGUGUGAGAGUGGAAAGUUCACACUGUGACGGUAUCUUACCAGAAAGGGACGGCUAACUACGUGCCAGCAGCCGCGGUAAUACGUAGGUCCCGAGCGUUGUCCGGAUUUAUUGGGCGUAAAGCGAGCGCAGGCGGUUAGAUAAGUCUGAAGUUAAAGGCUGUGGCUUAACCAUAGUAGGCUUUGGAAACUGUUUAACUUGAGCGCAAGAGGGGAGAGUGGAAUUCCAUGUGUAGCGGUGAAAUGCGUAGAUAUAUGGAGGAACACCGGUGGCGAAAGCGGCUCUCUGGCUUGUAACUGACGCUGAGGCUCGAAAGCGUAGGGAGCAAACAGGAUUAGAUACCCUGGUAGUCCACGCUGUAAACGAUGAGUGCUAGGUGUUAGACCCUUUCCGGGGUUUAGUGCCGUAGCUAACGCAUUAAGCACUCCGCCUGGGGAGUACGACCGCAAGGUUG
rnacentral:rRNA from 1 species